rnacentral:rRNA from 1 species
AACGUAGGAGGCGAGCGUUAUCCGGAUUCACUGGGCGUAAAGCGUGCGUAGGCGGUUGGGUAAGUCGGACGUUAAAGCCCCUGGCUCAACUAGGGGAGGUCGUUCGAUACUGCUUGGCUUGAGGAUGAGAGAGGAAAGCGGAAUUCCCGGUGUAGCGGUGGAAUGCGUAGAGAUCGGGAGGAACACCAGUGGCGAAAGCGGCUUUCUGGCUCAUUUCUGACGCUGAGUGCACGAAAGCGUGGGGAGCAAA